UAACCUGCCUUAUAGUGGGGGGAGUAGCCUUUCGAAAGGAAGAUUAAUACCGCAUAAGAUUGUAGUAUCGCAUGAUAUAGCAAUUAAAGGAGCAAUUCGCUAUAAGAUGGACCCGCGUCGCAUUAGCUAGUUGGUGAGGUAAUGGCUCACCAAGGCGACGAUGCGUAGCCGACCUGAGAGGGUGAACGGCCACAUUGGGACUGAGACACGGCCCAGACUCCUACGGGAGGCAGCAUG
rnacentral:rRNA from 1 species